UGGGGGAUAUUGCACAAUGGGCGAAAGCCUGAUGCAGCGACGCCGCGUGGGGGAUGAAGGCCUUCGGGUUGUAAACUUCUUUUGCUCUGAACAAGGCAUGCUAAUGGGUGUGUUGAGUGUAGGGGUUGAUUAGCGCCGGCUAACUACGUGCCAGCAGCCGCGGUAAUACGUAGGGCGCGAGCGUUGUCCGGAAUUAUUGGGCGUAAAGGGCUUGUAGGUGGCUGGUUGCGUCUGUCGUGAAAGCUCAUGGCUGAACUGUGGGUUUGCGGUGGGUACGGGCUGGCUUGAGUGCAGUAGGGGAGGCUGGAAUUCCUGGUGUAGCGGUGGAAUGCGCAGAUAUCAGGAGGAAUACCGGUGGCGAAGGCGGGUCUCUGGGCUGUUACUGACACUGAGGAGCGAAAGCAUGGGGAGCGAACAGG
rnacentral:rRNA from 1 species